UGUACUGCGGAGGACAUUACACAAAUAUGAAGGCGGGCUGGAACCUCUCGGGGUUACAGCCUUGCUGAAUUAUUCACCCUUGUCUUUUGCGUACUUCUUGUUUCCUUGGUGGGUUCGCCCACCACUAGGACAAACAUAAACCUUUUGUAAUUGCAAUCAGCGUCAGUAACAAAUUAAUAAUUACAACUUUCAACAACGGAUCUCUUGGUUCUGGCAUCGAUGAAGAACGCAGCGAAAUGCGAUAAGUAGUGUGAAUUGCAGAAUUCAGUGAAUCAUCGAAUCUUUGAACGCACAUUGCGCCCUUUGGUAUUCCAAAGGGCAUGCCUGUUCGAGCGUCAUUUGUACCCUCAAGCUUUGCUUGGUGUUGGGCGUCUUGUCUCUAGCUUUGCUGGAGACUCGCCUUAAAGUAAUUGGCAGCCGGCCUACUGGUUUCGGAGCGCAGCACAAGUCGCACUCUCUAUCAGCAAAGGUCUAGCAUCCAUUAAGCCUUUUUUUCAACUUUUGACCUCGGAUCAGGUAGGGAUACCCGCUGAACUUAAGCAUAUCAUAAGCCGGAAGGAAA
rnacentral:rRNA from 1 species